CUCCUCGAGGCCAGAGC
rnacentral:miRNA from 1 species